CUACUGAGCCAGAAACUCUGAGGCUGGGGGCCCACCGAUCUGUGCUUCAACUAAUUUUCCAAGGAAUUCUGAUCACGCUCAAGUUUCAGGACCGCUGGUGUAGGAUCUAGUCACCGUCAAACAUUCUUCUCAAAAGUCAGUUUCUGCCAGGGCCAGGCUUGAACCCACCAACCCUGGCAUAUGGGGCCAGCGUCCUACUCUACUCCUUGAGCCACAGGUGCUACCCAAUCCAAUAAUAUUUUAAAAGAACUUGAAACAGUGUCUAGCAGAAGGAACACUCUGUAAAGGUCUUUUCUAGCUCUUCAAAUUCCGCAAAAGUAGCUGGGUUGGGAGAAGUGAAACAGGAAAGACUACCUUGUGGAAUGACUAAAAAGGAAAAGAAACAAUGAAGAAAGAAGGAGUUAAGUGGUCUGAGGCCGCCUUGGAGUUGCCAGCACUGUGC